UGUGGCAGAUUGUGGAAAUGUUCGAGUUUGUGAUGGAGAGGUAUGCUAAAUAAUUAUUUGUUGGAAGGCGAUCAUGGAAGCAUAACCAAAUAAAGUGCAACAGUUUUAGCGGCAUACGUAGUUUCCAGACCCAGGUGAAUAGAUUCAAGGUUGUAGAGGAAUUGAGGGAUUGAUAGCUGGACUUAAACCAAAAAUUUGGCAUCUUUAGUAAGGGUCCAAAUAAUUUUGUCAAAUCUCAGCGAGGCGUGCGGCAGGUAUAUACUACGGAUUUGUUGUAAAAUAUCAUCCGGUAGCUGAAAAGAUAAGUUGCUUAAUUGCCAGGAAGCAUUUGCGUUGUAAUUUUCUAUAGUGGAGUGCUCUUCAUGAGGUAGAAAAGGACCAGAGAUGAGGGAUCGAAGAGUUGUGUUUUCGCUAAGCCAGGGAUCAAGGUAAUAUGUUACAUGUUGCUCAUUUGAUGUUCUCCAUUUAUAGUCUAGUUGACAGAUUGCCCAUCCAAUCAAGAUAUUUUUUCUAAAUAAAAGAUUAUUUUGGAUGAUAUGGUGUUGAAGAAUUAUAUUUUGACAAAAGAAUCUUGGCCCAUAGUUGCAUUGGAUUUUGAAAUAGGCGCCAUGCAAGGUUGUCUGGGAGGGCCUUAUUUUUGGUAUCAAGCUUUUGUAUACCUAGACCUCCUUCAGAUUUCAGACUAGUAACAUUGUUUUAUUUUAUAAGAAGCAAUUUUGUUUUCUGGGCAGUGAUGCCCAAAAAAAAAAAAAAAAAAUUCACUGGUAUUAAUUCAAAUACGAUCUAAUACUUUUGGGGAUGGAGAUAUAUUGUAUAACAUGGUUAGGAAGAGUGUUAAGAGUGGAGCAAAUAAGGGUUGUCCUUCCUACCAUAGUAAGAUGACUAGAUUUCUACCACGCAAGUCUGUAUCUUGAAUGUAUAUAAAUUGGAAAUAUGUGUUAGUAGGACUACGUAGGAAGAUGAGAAUCCAAGGUAUUUUCCAAGAUGGUUCCCUUCAAGCAUUUUAAAAUUUUGCAAUACAAAAUAUUUUUCAGCGGUGGCACGGGUUUUUGAGAAGAAUAUUUUUGAGUUAGCAAAGUUUAUUGGUUGUCCUGAGAUGGAAGUAAAGAAGCUUAUGGUGUCUAUUAUAUAGUAUGACAAAUUUUAGUCGAUUUUUUAGAAGUGAUUAUGAUAUCAUCAAAAAAGAAAAUACCGGAGAUACAUGGCCCCCUCUGGACAGUUGUAUGGGAGGCCAAUGUUGGUAAUCUACAGCCGCAUUUAUACUGCGGGAGAGCAUUUCCAUUGAAAGAAUAAAUAGGUACAGAGAUAAAGGAUCACCUUGGCGUAUACCUCUAGUUAGAUGGAAAAAUUCAAUAGGGCUACCAUUAAUGAGGACAAAGAUGAAAGAUGUGGAGACGCAUGACAUGAUAAAUUGAAUAAAUGGUCCCAGAAAUUUUAAUUGGAUAAGUGUUUGGAGGAUGAAGGACCGUUGUAGUUUAUCAAAAGUCUUUUCCAAAUCUAACUUCAUAAGCAUAUGAGGAAUUUUACUUUUCAUGUGCUGAAACUUAGUGAAGAUUUCUUGGACAACAAUGAUAUUAUCUGCCGCACAUUUAUUUUUUUGAAAAACUUGUUAAUAUGGUUUAUAAAUUUUUGUAAAAGUGGCUUGAGACAAUUGAAAAUAAUUUUUGUAAUUAUUUUAUAGAUAGUAUUGCAUAAGCUAAUAGGACGAUAUUAGGUAAUAGAGGAUGCAUUCUUAUUUUUAGGGAUUAGGCAAAGAUACGUGGUAUUUAUUUGGUGCGGGAUUUUAUGAUCCCUAAAAAUUUGGUGACCAAAGGAAGUGACUGAUUGUUGGAUAUCAGCCCAAUAUUUUGGUAGAAACAUGACUGAAGUCCAUCUAGACCUGGAGCCUUUAAGGCUGGAAAGAAUUGAUUGCUUCGAGAAUUUCAUGGUCUUGUAAUGGAAGCAAGAGUUGAUUUUGAUUGUCCGGUGAGAAAGAGUUAUGGGGGUAGGGGAAUGUGAGUUAGUGGAGAAGGGUAGUUCAGUGGUAAAGAGUUUUUGACAAUAUUCAGAAAUGUGAAACUGUACAUGAGAGGGUUCACAAAUCCAAUUUGCUCUAAUAUCUUGUAGGGCAGUUAUUUUAUUUCUUCGAUGACCUUGGGUAGUGGAGAGAAAAAAGAAUUUUGUAUUUACGUCACCUUGAUUAAACAAAGUUAUCCGGGAUUUUAGUUUCCAAAAUUUAUCCUCCUAUUGUAGGAUGAAGUUGUAUUCUCUAAUUAAGUCUUGUUCUAAGUUUUGUAAAAAUAAACUGGUGGUGUAUUUGAUAGAGGAUUGGAGGCAUUCUAAUCUGGCAAGGAGAAUUUUUUCUUGUUAAAAAUGUUUCAAAAUGUGUUUUAUUCCAAGAUUUCACGGUGGUGGUGAAGUUUUCAAUAGCAGGCAAUAGUUGAGUAUGAGUAGACAACACUGAGUGGAUCAAUGUUCUAAAUUCUAGACGUGAAGCCCCGAUGGUUUCAAAACGAAUUACUUUGUUGGGCUGGCUUCUAUGGUAAUUUAGUUGAAGCAACAAAGGGCAAUGAUUAGAGUGUGUGCGAGGUAGAUAAGUAACUAGGGAAUUUAGGAAUCUAUUAAUCCAUUCAUAAUUGGAUAUUAAUCUAUCUAACAUUUCCAAUAUAUGAUUACCCAUACUGUGAUUAUUUGUCCACGUGUAACGACUACCUUUAAAAUAUAAGUCCGCAAAUUGACAAUAAUUAAUAUAAUCAAUGAAGUAUUGAGAUCUAUUUAAAUUGAUAUCCCUCCCGCCAUAUUUAUCACCUGCUAAAAGUAUUUCAUUAAAGUCUCACCUAAUAUCUAGGGACCCUUAAAAAGGUCUUUCAAACAUUUAAGAUUCUGUCAUAAUAUAUUUCUAUCUUGAUAAUGAGUGCUAGCAUAUAUUGCUAAAAAUAACCAUUGUUGAGUAUGGGGGCUUACCUUUAUCAUGCAGUGGUCUUGCUGAGUAGUUGCAAGAAUGUCCACUGUGAGUGCCUCACGAUGCAACAAAGGGACAAUACCACCAGAUUGUCCCUCAGCAGAUACUUGAGUCAUGUCAGAGAAUUGAAAAUCCUCCCUAAGUACAUGAUGAUCAGUGAUGUGAGUUUCCAACAGAGCAACUAAAUAAAGGCGAUGGUAAUCCAGUAAAGACCUAAUAUUUCGACGAAACUCGAGUGAUUGAGCACUCCGGCAGUUCCCCCUGCAUGUUUGGUUUUUGUUCAUUGUUCCCCUCUCCCUGAACAUGGAGCGAGGGAAUCAGUACCACAUUGUAUUUGCCUACAGCCCGAUUCGUGGUUGGCCUUAUUCUUAGGGAGCAAGUGUGAAGAUUUGGAGGACAAUUUAGAUGAAACUUUUUUGCGUGCUCCUCCUUUACCACAAAAACAUUGAAUCCUGCAAGCCAAAGUGGUUCUGGGCGUAUGUUCAGAAAUGAUCUAUCGUUGUCGCUAUUUCCUGUUGGAGGUCUUCGUUUGGUUCUUCUUGAUUUGGAAGGGGUGGUGUGUUCAGUGGUGAGAGAGGCAGUUGGUCAUGUGGCCCCAAGGGUGAGGUUGGGGGAGGUUAAGUGGUGGUAGUGUGUAUGGUUAGAUCCAAGGCAUUUGAUGAAAUGGUUUUGGUGGAGGAUAAAAGAAAAGUUGGAGAAGGUGGGGCUAUAGGUGUGUGGCAUCCCAGUAGGGGGCUGGGUUUGAUGGUGGUUGGUAUGGUGCUAGGUAUGGGGCUUGUAUCAUGGACCAGUAGUACUGACCAUAGAUGACCAUCGCUAGACAAAUCCCCUCUGUGACUAUUUACGUGAGGUCAAUUGGAUUUGUGAGCAGUAUCAUGACCUCUUGGCCAUUCACUUCAUGGAGAAUAUGAGAGCAUGGUCUUGGAGACCCACUUCCAACCAUGAUGUUGGUUCAUUCAUUGCAUGGUUUGUUUUAGCAGUGAAGAUCCGAGUGUUAGGAUUCAUGGCUGAGAGGUGGAUUGUAAAUGAUGAUAACGAGGAGGGGUGGUGGUUGGAAUAGACGUGCUCGAUGCAUUGUUUAUAGUAGGAGUAAUAGAAAUGUUGGAAUUGUGAGGGUGAGUGAAUUGAUGAUUGGGGGUGUGUAUUUGUAGAGACAGUAGUGGUUGGGUUUUGGCGGUGAGCAUUGGGUUGGGCUUGAGUGUAGUGUGUGUUGUGACAUGGGUGUAUGCAUUAAUGGUGUAUUUUUUUCAUGGACUGGAUUUCCUGAUCCAGUGGGAGUAGUAUCUUAUAUUAGUGGUUCAUCAGAGUUAUGACUACUCUUGGUUUACUGAAAAUAAGAGGAGAUUUGGUUUGUGAUUAUAGGGCUAUGUGGUGUUUGUAGGUCUGCUGACGUGGAGGCAUGUGGGGUAAGUAAGUUAUGAUUGGCUGGAGAAUUUACGUGUUAUGUUGGUUCUAUUUCAAGGUGGCUUUGUGGUUCAGGUUUUUGUAGUAGAUCAUUAGUAUUAAUUUGGGCUAGUGGGAUGUUGGACAUUGAAGGAAAUGGUGGACAGCUGAUAGGUUAGGCCUCUACGACGUGUUCGUUUGAUGUGGGUGGGUCUUCUAAUUGGAGAUUUGCAAAUUUAUUUGAGUGGGUAAAAUUUUGGAGUUCCCACUAGUUAUAUACAUUAUCACAUUUAGGGAGGGUAUUACAUGCAUUUUCUGAAGAUUGUGUAUUUAAGUGCUUUAAGUUAGUGGACUUACCUAUAUGUGGCGCGUGAGGCACAUCUUCGGCUUGAGUUGGCAUAAUGUCUGCAUCAAGGAAAGUUGGUUGAUGUGCGCGAGAUUUUGUGAUAGAUUUCCUCAAAAAUUAUACUGUCUUGCACUCCUGGGAUGGAGUUAUUUCCUGUACUGUAGUACUGGUAGUGGAUUGGAGAGAAGGAGAGGUAAUUUUCAAGGUGAUGAGCAUUGUUUGUGGAUGGAUUAAAGUGGAGCAGUUCUUUUGCAAAUGGCCUAAUUUUCCACAAGCUGUAUGCGGAGGUGAAUUCCCUCAUAUAGAAUAACCUGCUUGUGGGUGCUAAUAAAGAUGUGUGUUCUCAGGGAUUUUUCUAAGGUAACUCCACACAAAUUCUGGCAUACUGGCCUCGUGUAGUUAUAUAGCUAUAGGUAUCAAUUUUCAACACUUCGCUAAUUUUAUUGCCCAUUUACUAGAGAAUAUCUAGGUCGUAGAAUUCGAUUGGAAGUUCAGGGAGUCUUACCCAGAAAGAUAAGUACUUGAGCUUUGAUGUGGAGGUUAGAAAUUUUGGUUAUCAUUCUGACGGAGAGGAAAUGGUUAAAAAUGAACAAAAGGUCGUCAUGUAGUGCUCUUAACAUAUUUUCAUUUUUCUAAAAAUUGAGUAGGAAGAAGUUUGAUCCUAAAUAGACUAGGGGUAGUUCUUCUGUAGGCUUUCACUGUGCAUAGAACUUUUGUCGUAGUAUUGAUGGCCAACUUUACGCCCAAAAACCUUUACUAUGACGAAGAACUAGCAUGGUGAAUAUAGUUUUGAUUUAUCUUCAACAGUUAAUGGAAUGAAGUUGUUUGGGUCAAUGGUGGUAUCGCUUUCAUCAGUUAAUUCAAUGGUAUUAAGUUGGAGGUGGGGAUUGAUGAUAUCGGGAGAUAAUUGUGUAUUGAUUAUUAAUUUGUUCAAGAAUGAGGGGUUGUCAGGGUUUGUGGCAUGUGAGGGUGGAUCAAUUUGCAUUUUUGCAUUAUCUGGGGGUUCUGGGGAUCUGAAGUUGGUUGUGUAGGGCUGUAUUUCCAUGAUUAAACUAAGGAGACAUUUGGUAGAGUGCAUAAGAAUAGUGCGGAAUAAGGUGUAUUAGUAAUGCAUGGAUUAGUAAUGCAUGGAUUAGUAAUGCAUGGGUUAGUAAUUAUCACGACCCCGGUUCGCCCUCCGUGAACUAUCGUGACGGCACCUAGUCUCUACGACUAGGUAAGCCUAAAUUGCGGGAAAAAAACCAAAAUUUGCAGAAGUAAAAAAAUUUAAAACAGAAGUAAAGUAGUAACAGUGUUUAAAUGUGCCGCUCGGCAUACACCAUGUUUAACUCUCAAUAUCAAUACAUAAAUCCAAGACCCGAAAACCCACGAAUCACAAGCUAGGAAAUGCUACAUAGCUCUAACUCUGGAAUGUCUAAUAAGAACAGAAAAUACAGAAGGGCUAAGUACUAAAAAGCAGGAAUAGAAAGGGACUCCUCGGUCUGCGGACGCGGCAGAUAUACCUCGAAGUCGCUAGGGCAGUCGUCUCGCCUCAGGGGUGAUAGGACUGGGUAGAAGUACCUGGAUCUGCACAUGAAAAACAUGCACAGAAAGGGCAUGAGUACACCACAGUGGUACUCAGUAAGUGUCAAGCCUAACCUCGGUUGGGUAGUGAAAAGGAAGGUCAGGGCCCUACUGAGGUUAAACAAAAAUAUAAGUUCAACAGUAUAGAAUAGAACAGUAUAAAUAAGUACAGCAAUGAAAAUAAAACAGGAUGUACAAGACAGCAACAACUAUACAGAGCAAGGUAAACACGGAAGGAAAUAUAACUCAGCACUAAUUAUAAUCAAAUCGGGGAUCUUCCAGGAUACCGUCCUGUAGUCCCAAAUACAAUUAUCCGAUAAGUCUUCCGGGAUACCAUCCCGUAGUCCAACUCAUAGUGCACGAAAAUCUAUCGGAAUCCCGUUCCGUAGUCCCAAAUAUAAAUACCCAGUACUGGGGGAAUCUAUCGGUGCAUUCCCGUAGUUCCAUAUAAUUGUGCAGGGGAAUCUACCGGAAUCCCACAUCUGUAGUCCUAAAAUAAACAGACAAGGGGGAGAUACCGGAAUCCCACAUCCGUAGUCCUAAUGUAAAUACACAGCAGCACCAGAAAAUUAUACAGAAAUGGCAAAUUUCAUACUAAGAUAAACAAGUGAUUCUAGCCUAGCAUGUUGCACAGAAUUCAGGUAAGCACGUUGAACAAUUAAAACAAUUAAAUCACUUAGACAUGCUUUCCUAAUCUAACAAAUGGCUUAAUAGGGCAAGUAAUAGAAGCAGGAAAAGAAACAUACUAAUAAAUACUUAAAGAAAACCGGAUUUCCAACAAUUUGCAUAAGUACGCACUCGUCACCUCACGUACAAGGCAAUUCAAUUACCAAAUAUAUCAAUCCUAAGGGGAAGGUCCCCCGCACAAGGUUAGACAAGCCACUUACCUCGAACCGGCUCAAAAUUAACCCGAGACCACGUUCUUGCCACUAGUACUCGACUCCAAAUGGCCCAAAUCUAUUCAAUUCAAUUGCAUAAUGUACAUAACACUUCAAGUAACUAAUUCUACAAUUAAAGUCUAAGCUGAUACUCGAAAUUAUGUAAAAUGACCAAAGCGCCCCUCGAGCCCACGUCUCGGAAUCGGGUAAAAUUUAAAUUUCCAGAUACCUCGCACUCUCAUAAGUUCAGUCAUAUAAAAAGUACCAAAAUCGGACCUCAAUUUGUCCCUCAAAUAUCACUCAAAGAUCUCCAAUUAGACAAGCCCUAAACCCCCAAUUACCACUAAUUUUACUUAAUUUUUGAUGCUUAAAUUGAUAAAAAAAUCAUUCCAAUAACGCGUUUAGGGACAAAAGACCUUACCCCAAUGAACUCCUCUGAAAAUCUCUCUUGAAAAGUGCUCCACAAGCUUCUUCCCGUUUUGAAAAAGAUGAAAAAUGGCUAAAUUUCGCGAAGGCAAAAAUUUAUAUGUUCUGCCCAGCGAUUUCCGCAUUUGCAGCCCUGGGACUGCAUCUGCGGUCCCGCUUCUGUGAGGACUUCGUCACAUCUAGGACUUUCACUUAAAUGCCAACUUUCGCAGCUGCGACUCCCCAUCCGCAGAUGCGGUACCACUUCUGCGGUAUGAUCACUACUUCUGCAGUUCCAGAAGAACUCCCAAAAUUCCGCUUUUGCGGCCACUGAGCCACUUCUACGGCGCCGCACCUGCGGAACCCAAACUGCAGGUGCGGUUAUGAAAGAACCAGCAGCUGAAGCUGCAACUUUAACUCCAAAAUCUUUCCGUCAACCAUCUGAAUUCAUCCCGAGGCCCUCGGGACCUCAACCAAAGGCACCAACAAGUCACAAACCACUACCUAAACUUGUACCAAUCCUUAUAACACCUAAAACAACAUUGAAACCUCGAAUUAACCAUGGAUUUAAGCCUAAGAACUCCAAAAUUCUCAAAAUACGCUUUCGAUCAAAAAGUCCAUCAAAACCUCGUCCGAAUGACCUGAAAUUUUGCACACACGUCACAUUCAAUACUACGGAACUACUCCAACUUUCAGAAUUCCAUUCCGACCCUCGGAUCAAAAUCUCACUAUCGGACUGGAAGCUUCAAAAACUCAACUUUUGGCAUUUCCAGCCUAAAUUAGCUACGGGCCUCCAAAACACAAUCCGAACACGCCCCUAAGCCCGAAAUCACCCAACAGAGCUAAUGGAAUCAUCGGAUUUCCAUUACGAGGUCGUCUUCACACUGUUCUGACUACGGUCAACUUUCCAACAUUUAAGCUCUCAUUUAGGUACUAAGUGACCCAAAACUCUCCGAAACUCAAAGCCGAACAUCCCGAUAAAUUAAAAUAGCAGAAAUAAACUCGGGGGAAGCAGUUAAUAGGGGAUCGGGGCAUUAAUUCUUAAGACAACCGUCCGGGUCGUCACAUCCUCCUACACUUAAACAUUCGUUCGUCCUAGAACGAGCAUAGAGACAUACCUGAAGUAGUGAAAAGAUGAGGGUAACGACUGCACAUAUCCUUCUCGGUCUCCCAGGUCGCCUCCUCGACCGACUGACCCCACUACUGAACCUUCACUGAUGCAAUGUUCUUUGACCUCAGCUUUCUGACCUUCUUGUCCAAUAUUUCCAUUAGCUCUUCAACAUAGGAUAGAUCCUUGUCCAACUGGACUGAACUAAAAUCCAGCACGUACGACGGAUCACCGUGAUACCUCCGGAGCAUCGAAACAUGAAAUACCGGAUGAACUCUGGCCAAUCUGAGAGGUAAGGCAAGCUCAUAAACAACCUCCCCAAGACGCCUCAAUAUCUCACAAGGGCCAAUAAAUCUCGGAUUCAACUUCCCUUUCUUCCCAAAUCUCAUAACACCCUUUAUGGGCGAAAAUAGAAGCAGAACUCGCUCUCUAAUCAUAUAGGAAACAUCACGAACCUUCCGGUCCGCGUAACUCUUCUAUCUGGACUAGGCUAUACGGAGUCUAUCCUGAAUCACAUUAACCUUCUCCAAAGCAUCCUGAACUAAGUUUGUGCCCAAUUAUCUAGCCUCACCCGGCUCAAACCAGCCCACCGGGGAUCUACACCGCCUACCAUAUAAAGCCUCAUACGGUGCCAUCUGAAUGCUGGACUGAUAGCUGUUGUUGUAAGCAAACACUACCAAUGGCAAGAACUGAUCCCAAGACACUCCAAACUCAAUCACACACGCAUGGAGCAUAUCCUCAAGAAUCUGAAUAGUGUGCUGGGACUGUCCGUCCGUCUGAGGGUGAAAUAUUGUACUCAACUCCACCUGAGUACCCAACUCAUGUUGAACGGCCCUCCAGAACUAUUAUAUGAACUGAGUACCUCUAUCAGAAAUGAUGGACACUAGAAUACCAUGAAGACCAACAAUCUCCCGAAUAUAUAUCUCUGCCAAACGCUCCGAAGAACAAGUAUUACACACAGGAAUGAAAGGAGCGGACUUGGUCAGCCGAUCCACAAUCACCCAAAUAGCAUCAAACUUUCUCAAAGUCUCUGGGAGCCUAACUACAAAGUCCAUGGUGAUCUGCUCCCACUUCCACUCCGGAAUCUCUAUCUACUGAAGCAACCCACCCGGUCUCUGGUGCUCAUACUUCACCUGCUUAUAGUUGAGACACCGAGCUACGAAUCCAACUAUAUCUUUCUUCAUGCACUUCCACCAAUAUCGAUACCUCAAAUCUUGAUACAUCUUUGUGGCACCCGGAUGGAUGGAAUACCGCAAACUAUGGGCCUCCUCUAGAAUCAACUCUCACAGCCCAUCAACGUUGGGUACACAAAUUCGACCCUGCAUCCUCAAUACCCCAUCAUCACCAAUAGUCACAUCUCUAGCAUCACCGUGCUAAACUUUGUCCUUGAGGACAAGCAAAUCAGGGUCAUCAUACUACCGCUCCCUGAUGCGAUCAAAUAAGGAAGACCGAGAAACCACGCAAGCUACAACCUGACUGGGCUCCGAAAGAUCCAAUCUCACAAACUGGAUGGCUAAGGCCUGAACAUCCAUCGCCAUAGGCCUCUCCGAUGCUGGUAAAUAAGCAAAACUCCCCAAACUCUCUGCCUGGCAACUCAAAGCAUCGACCACCACAUUGGCCUUGCCCAUGUGAUACAAAAUAGUGAUGUCAUAAUCCUUUAGCAACUCCAACCACCUCCUCUGGCGCAAAUUUAGAUCCUUUUGCUUGAACAAAUACUGCAAGCUCCGAUGGUCAGUAUAAAUCUCAUAGGGAACCCCGUAUAAAUAAUGGCGCCAAAUCUUCAGGGCGUGAACAAUGGCAGCUAACUCAAGGUCAUGAAUAGGGUAAUUCUUCUCAUGUAUCUUCAACUACCUGGACGCGUAGGCAAUUACCCUACCGUCCUACAUCAACACCGCUCUGAGGCUAAUCCUUGAGGAAUCACAAUAGACUGUAUAAGACCCCGAACCUGAAGGCAAUAUCAAAACUGGGGUUGUAGUCAAAGCUGUCUUGAGCUUCUAAAAGCUCGCCUCACACUUUUCCGUCCACUAAAACGGAGCACCCUUCUUGGUCAACCUGGUCAUAGGGGCUGCAAUCGAUGAAAAACCCUCCACAAAAUGAUGGUAGUAGCCUGCCAAGCCAAAGAAACUGUGGAUCUCUGUAGCUGAGGAUGGUCUGGGCCAACUCUGCACGGCCUCUAUCUUCUUCGGAUCCAUCUGAAUACCCUCACUCGAUACCACGUGGCCUAAGAACGCCACUGAAUCCAACCAAAACUCAUAUUUUGAGAACUUAGCAUAUAACUUCUUCUCUCUCAAAGUCUGAAGCAUGGUCCUCAAGUGUUGCUCAUGAUCUUCCUGACUCCGGGAAUACACCAGAAUAUCAUCAAUACAGAUAAUGGCGAAUGAGUCAAGAUAUGGCUGGAACACAUUGUGCAUCAAGUGCAUAAAGGCUGUUGGGGCAUUGGUCAGCCCAAAUGUCAUAACAAGGAACUCAUAAUGACCAUACCGAGCCCUGAAAGUAGUUUUGGGGAUAUCUGGCUCCCGAAUCUUCAACUGAUGGUAGCUUGAGCGCAAGUCAAUCUUAGAAAACACCCGUGCGCUCUGAAGCUGGUCAAAGAGAUCAUCAAUUCCAGGAAAAGGAUAACGGUUCUUCACUGUAACCUUGUUCAACUGUCGAUAAUCAAUGCAUAUACACAUGGAACCAUCCUUUUUAUUCACAAACAAGAUAGGAGCACCCCCAAGGUGAUACAUUGGGCCGAAUAAAACCCUUAUCAAGCAAUUCCUGUAACUGAUCCUUCAACUCCUUUAACUCAGGAGGAGUCAUACGAUACGGAGGAAUAGAAAUGGGCUGAGUGCCCGGCAACAGAUCAAUGCCAAAAUCAAUAUCUCUAUCAGGCGGCAUGCCCAGAAGGUUAGUUGGAAACAAAUCGGGAAAAUCCCGUACUACAAGGACUGAAUCAACUAAAAGGGUAUCAAUACUAACAUCUCUCACAUAAUCUAGAUACGCGUCACACCCCUUCUCAACCAUACGCUGAGCUUUAAGAAAAGAAAUGACUCUACUAGGAGUGUGAUCUAAAGCACCCCUCCACUCAACACGCAGUAUACCUGGCAUAGCCAGCAUCAUGGUUUUGGCGUGACAAUCAAGAAUAGCAUAAUGGGGUGACAACUAGUCCAUGCCCAAGAUAAUAUCAAAGUCAACCAUGGUGAGUAACAAUAAAUCGACUCUAGUCUCAAAACCACUAAGAGAAACCAAACAUGACCGAUAAAUGUGGUCCACAACAAGAGAAUCUCCCACAGGAGUAGAAACAUAAACAGGGGAACUCAAAGAAUCCCGAGGUACAACCAAAUGCGGAGCAAAAUAAGAAAACACAUAAGAGUAAGUGGAGCCUAGAUUGAAUAAAACUGAUGCAUCUCUGUAACAAACUAGUAUAAUACCUGUGAUGACAGAAUCGGAGGCAACAGCCUUAGUACGAGCAGGAAGGGCAUAGUAUCUGGCCUGGCCUCCCCCUCUAGGGCCACCUCUACCUCCCCAGCCUCCACCUCUAGCUGGCUGAGCAGGCGGGGUAGCAACUGGAGCUGUAACCAUAGCCUGAGAACUCUGCGGGGCACGCUGUGGCUGAGAAGUCUGUGGAGGUGCACCCCUACCAAGUCUAGGGCAAUCCUUCACUAUGUGGCUUGUGUCACCACACUCAAAACAAGAUUUGGGAGGAUGUGGUGGUUGUGACUAGCUAGGGACAAGUCUGCUGGACUGACCUCUGAAAGCACCCCGCGUAGGAGGUGCGCUAGAAAUCGGAGCUGCAUAAUAAGGCUCCUAAGGCCUAGGAGGAGCUGGAGCACUACUGGCUGCUGGAAGAGAUGAAUGAACGGGGCGACUCAUAUAACCCCUACCAUGAUGACCUGCAGCUGGGUUACGGGCACCAGAAUAAUGGCCCAACUCUCGAGACCUCUUGGCCUCCCUCUUCUCUCUCUCCCUAGCAUGCAUACCCUCAAUCCUCCUAGCAAUGCUCACCACCUACUGAUAAGAAAUAUCCAUCUCCAACUUAUGAGCCAUGCUAGAUAUGAUGCUGGGAAUAAGGCCCUCAAUAAACCGGCAAACCCUCUCGCGGACAGUAGAAACCAAGGCUGGGGCAUGUCUAGCCAAGCUAGUGCAACGGACAGUAUACUCUGAGACAAUCAUAGUGCCCUGGCGCAAAUGCUCAAACUCGGCGCGCCAUGCAUCUUUGAGGCUCUGAGGAAUAAACUCUCUCAGGAAUAGAUCUGAUAACUAGGUCCAAGUCAGUAAAGCAGCCUCGUCCGGACUGUCUAACUCAUAGGUGUGCCACCACUCAUAAAUGGCUCCUCGAAGCUGAAAAGUAGUGAAGGAAACCCCGCUCGAUCCUGAUAUACCCAUGGUAUGGAGAAUACAGUAGCACUCCUCCAGAAAUCCCAAGGUAUCAACUGAUGCUAACCCACUGAAUACCGGAGGAUCAUACUUCUUGAACCUCUCAAGUCUCCGCUGCUCAUCCUCCGAAGCAGCUGCCCCGUCCUCGGGAUGAACUGGCUGCUCGGGAGUGCGGGUGGCGGGAGUCUAUGCUCCUCCCUCAGCUUGGGAUGUGGCUGCAGCAAGGGGAAGCAACCUUGCCUGAGCCAAAGUGGUGUACAUGCUCAUGAACUGCGCCUGGAGUAGUAGUAGCAGUAGGCGUGUCAGGUGCCUCGACUCCGACUGGAACUGCGGGUGGUACCUCGGCGGCAGCUCGGGCAGGUGCUCUGGCUGCACCAUGUGCGCAUCCUCGGCCUCUAUCCCGGCCUCGGCCUCUGACGGUUGUAGUAGGGGGCGCGGGUGCCUGAUCAUCUCGGGUAGCACGUGUCCUCACCAUCUGUGACAGAAUAGAAGACAGACGUUUAGAAUUGUGAUGUCAAAAAUAUCACACGACAAGGAAAUCAAAUGAAGUAAAAAAUUUCCUAACAGUUACAUAGCCUCUCAUAGAUAAGUACAGACGUCUCCGUACCGAUCAGCGAAACUCUAAUAAACCGGCUUGUGAUCCAUGACUCCUAUGAACCUAGAGCUCUGAUACCAACUUAUCAUGACCCCAAUUUUCCCUCCGUGAACCAUCGUGAUGGCACCUAGUCUCUACGACUAUGUAAGCCUAAAUUGCGGAAGAAAAAACAAAAUUUGCGGAAGUAAAACAAUUUAAAACAGAAAUAAAGUAGUAACAGUGUUUAAAUGUGUCGCUCAGCAUACACCAUGUUUAACUCUCAAUACCAAUACAUAAAUCCAAGACCCGGAAACCCACGAUUCACAAGCUAGGAAAUGCUACAUAGCUCUAACUCCAGAAUGUCUAAUAAGAACAGAAAAUACAGAAGGGCUAAGUACUAAAAAGCAGGAAUAGAAAGGGGCUCCUCGGUCUGCGGACGCGGCAGAUAUACCUCGAAGUCGCUAGGACAGUCGCCUCGCCUCAGGGGUGAUAAGACUGGGUAGAAGUACUUGGAUCUGCACAUGAAAAACAUGCAUAGAAAGGGCAUGAGUACACCACAGUAGUACUCAGUAAGUGCCAAGCCUAACCUCGAUCGGGUAGUGGCGAGGAAGGUCAGGGCCCUACUGAGGUUAAACAAAAAUAUAAGUUCAACAGUAUAGAACAGAACAGUAUAAAUAAGUACAGCAGUGAAAAUAAAACAGGAUGUACAGGACAACAACAAUUAUACAGAGCAAGGUAAACACGGAAGGAAAUACAACUCAGCACCAAUGAUAAUCAAAUCGAGGAUCUUCCAGGAUACCGUCCUGUAGUCCCAAAUACACAUAUCCGAUAAGUCUUCAAGAAUAUCGUCCUGUAGUCGAACUCAUAGUGCAUGGGGAUCUACCGGAAUCCCCUUUCGUAGUCCCAAAUGUAAAUACCCAGUACUGGGGGAAUCUACCGGGUGCAUUCCCGCAGUUCCAUAUAACUGUGCAGGGGGAUACCGGAAUCCCACAUCCGUAGUCCCAAAAUAAACAGACAAGGGGGAGCUACUGGAAUCCCACAUCCGUAGUCCAAAUGUAAAUACAUAGCAGCAGCAAGAAAUUAUUUAGAAAUGGCAAAUUUCAUACUAAGGUAAACAAGUGAUUUGCUGCACAGAAUUCAGGUAAGCAUAUUGAACAAUUAAAGCAAUUAAAUUACUUAGACAUGCUUUCCUAAUCUAACAACAAGAUUAAUAGUGCAAGUAAUAGAAGCAGGAAAAGAAACAUACUAAUAAAUACUUAAAGAAAAUUGAAUUUCCAAUAAUUUGCACAAGUACGCACUCGUCACCUCACGUACAAGGCAAUUCAAUUACCAAAUAUAUCAAUCCUAAGGGGAAGGUCCCCCACACAAGGUUAGACAAGCCACUUACCUCAAACCGGCUCAAAAUCAACCCGAGACCACGUUCUUGCCACGAGUACUCAACUCCAAAUGGCCCAAAUCUAUUCAAUUCAAUUGCAUAAUUUAGAUAAUCAAUUCAAUUGCAUAAUGUACAUAACACUUCAAGUAACUAAUUCUACAAUUAAAGUCUAAGCUGAUACUGAAAUUAUGUAAAAUGACCAAAACGGCCCUCGGGCCCACAUCUCGGAAUUGGGUAAAAUUUAUAUUUCCAGAGACCUCGCACUCUCACGAGUUCAGUCACAUCAAAAGUACAAAUAUCGGACAUCAAUUUGUCCCUCAAAUCAUCACUCAAAGGUCUCCAAUUAGAACAACCCUAAACCCCCAAUUACCACUGAUAUUCCUUAAUUUUUCAUGCUUAAAUUGAUAAAAAUCAUUGAAUAACGAGUUUAGGGACCAAAGACCUUACCCCAAUGAACUCCUCUGAAAAUCUCUCUUGAAAAGUGCUCCCCAAGCUUCUUCCCGUUUUGAAAAAGAUGAAAAAUGGCUAAAUUUUGCGAAGGCAAGAAUUUAUAUGUUCUGCCCAGCGAUUUCCACAUUUGCGGCUCUGAUGCGGUCCCGCUUCUGUGAGGACUUCUUCGCAUCUGCGACUUUCACUUAAAUGUCAGCUUCUGCAUCUGCGACUCCCCAUCCGCAGAUGCGGUACCGCUUCUACGGUAUGAUCACCGCUUCUGUGGUUCUUGAAGAACUCCCCAAAUUCCACUUUUGCAGCCACUAAGCCGUUCUGUGGUGACGCACCUGUGGAACCCAAACCGCAGGUGCGGUUAUGACAGAACCAGCAGCUGAAACUGCAACUUUAACUCCAAAAUCUUUCCGUCAACCAUCUGAAUUCAUCCCGAGUCCCCCGGGACCUCAACCAAAGGCACCAACAAGUCACAAACCACUACCCAAACUUGUACCAAUCCUUAAAACACCUAAAACAACAUCGAAACCUCGAAUUAACCAUGGAUUUAAGCCUAAGAACUCCAAAAUUCUCAAAAUACCCUUUCGAUAAGAACUCCAAAAUUCUCAAAAUACCCUUUCGAUCAAAAAGUUCAUCAAACCUCUUCUGAAUGACCUAAAAUUUUGCACACAAGUCACAUUCAAUACUAUGGAGCUACUCCAACUUUCGGAAUUCCAUUCCGACCCUCGGAUCAAAAUCUCACUAUCGGACCAGAAGCUUCAAAAACUCAACUUUUGGCAUUUCAAGCCUAAAUUAGCUACGGGCCUCCAAAACAUAAUCCGAUCACACCCCUAAGCCCGAAAUCACCCAACGGAGCUAACGAAACCAUCAGAUUUCCAUUCCGAGGUCGUCUUCGCACUGUUUCGACUACGGUCAACUUUCCAGCACUUAAGCUCUCAUUUAGGGACUAAGUUUCCCAAAACUCUCCAAAACUCAAAGCCAAACAUCCCGGCAAAUUAAAAUAGCAGAAAUAAACUCGGGGGAAGCAGUUAAUAGGGGAUCGGGGCAUUAAUUCUUAAGACGGUCGGCCGGGUCGUAACAAUAAUGCAAGCAUUAAUUAUAAAAAUAUUAUUUCUUAUCUACUUUUUGGUGUAGUGCAUUAAAAUUAUAAUGCAUUGCAUAAUUUUUAAGAAAAAUAGUUGCUUAGAAAAAUGUCAUCCAUAUUAUCUAGCUUUAAGGGACUUUAAGAAUAAUUUUAUCUUUAACCAUGAUAAUGCUUGCAUUAAAGCCUUGGUAUUACUAAUGUCAUGGUUUUCUAUGCAUUACAUAUGCAUAGGAUAAUGCCAAGUAUGAUACACAAAUUGAAAAAAUAUACCAAACAAGGUAUUAGUAAUGCAUAGAGUUAAUGCUUGUAUUAUUUUUUCUAAUACCUCCUACCAAACGACCCGUAAGAGUGUAGUGUGGAAUUGUUGUGUAAGUGACUGUGUUGGUAAGGAAAUGUUGAAAGAGAAGUGGAGAGCAUUCUUAACCCCCUCCAAUACAACUCUUUUGUGAAUAAGUUACACCAAGAGCAAACAUAUAUAUCUAUCACGGCCAAAAAUCCAACUAGUUUUGAUGGUACCUAACUCAAUCUGCUAGGUAAGCCAAUUAAAAAUAAUCUAAUUCAAUGAGAUUUUCUAAGAAAAUAAAUGAUGAAAUAGCUUAACCUUUAUAUACUUCUCAAGGACUGGUAGUAAAAAUCAUGGGCUUCUAAGACAAAGAGUUUAUAAAGCUGUUAUGAAAUAAAUACAUCAUCUGUUCGAAAUGUACAUAAACAUAUUUUUAUAAAUCUAAAGAUACCAUGAACAAGAGGCGGCUACAACCGGAACGCACGUACAUUUUCAAAUCCAGCUCCCAUCGAGCACAACAACAUCAACAGCCGCCAUCUGUAUGCAAGGUGCAGAAGUGUAGUAUGAGUACAACCAACCCCAUGUACUCAAUAAGUAACAAACCUAAUUUUAGGUUGAAAGUAGUGGCGAGCUGGAAUAAAAGUAGGAGUCCAACACCAAUAGCCACCAACAGUUCAUAACAACAUAAUGCAAGUAAUAAAAGAAGUAACUCAGAGAUAAAAUGUUCAGCUCAUUCACAGUUUCAGAAAGUAGGCCUGCUUUUCAAGUAUAUCGGUGAAAAUCCAAAUCUUUUACCGAAAUUGCCAAAAAAAUAUAAGUUUGAAAACUGUAAUUUUUCCCAAAGCUUGCAAAAGGUAAAUGUUUCAUUAUCAAUUUGCACGAGGAAAAUGCAUCUCUAUGCCUAUAUGUCAAUAUGUGUGAGAAGUCAUGAAUAUAUGAUGUGAUACCGUACAACAUGAAGAAAAUACAUCUUUAUACAUGUAUGUUAAGUGUGCAUGUCGAAUGCCAUGCAACUCAGUGAUAAUAUUAUAUGCAUACUCUCAGAGUAUCAAUUCACUCAGUCCUCCAGUCUCAGUCCUCACAGCCACUCAAUCCUCACAGUCACUCAGUCCUCACAUCCACUCAAUCCUCAUAGUCACUCAAUCCUCCCAAUCACUCGGUACUCGUGCUCGGCACUCGCACUCAGUAAGUACAUGUGCUCACUGAGGGUGUGUACAGACUUCGGAGGGGCCCCUUCAGCCCAAGUUCUAUAAUAAGCCAAUCAUGGCAUAAAUCAAUAAAACAUGUUACGGCGUGCAGCCCAAUCCCAUAAACAUCCUCACUAUCAGUCCCUCGGCCUCACUCAGUCAUCAAUUUCUCUAGUCUCUCGGGCUCUCAAUAUUAUGAAAAAUUCAGCCAAAAUAAUUAUGUGAUGUAUCAGUAAAUGGUAACAAAGACUGAGAUAUGAUAUGCAUAUGAAUGUGUAUGAUUGUGUAUGUAAAUGCAAUGUAAGCAGAUAACUCAACAGCAGAAAUAACCUCGGUGGGUCUCAAUAGAAUAAGCAUAUAGCCUAGACAUGGUUUCUAACAUGGAUCACAACUCAAUAGCUUAAGUGCGUAGAGAGUUUAUGGUUACAAAUAAGAUCGGGUAACUACACAGUACCACAGAAAUAACGGUAAGUUGGAGGUGAAUCCUUUAUUUCUGUGAAUCCAUUAUUUUUGUGAAUUCGUUAUUUUUGUGGUACUGUGUAGUUACCUGAUCUUACCUCUAACCAUGAAAUUUCUAUGUACUAGAGCUAUUGAGCUGUGAUCCAUGUUAGAAACCAUGUCUAGACUACAUGUUUAUCCUGUUAGGACCCACUAAGGUCAUUCUACUGUUGAGCUAUCUUCUUUCAUUGCACUUACAUACUCAGCCAUACGCAUUCAUAUGCAUAUCAUAUCUCAGUCUCUGUUAACAUUUAUUGAUACAUCACAUCAUUAUUUUUGGGCUGAUUUUUCAUGGCAUUGAGAGCCUGAGAGACUGAAGAGAUUGAUGAUAGAGUGAGGCCGAGAGCCUGAAGGUGAGGAUGUUUAUGGGAUUGGGAUGCGCGCUAAAGCAUAUUUUAUUGAUUUAUGAUGGGAACGGGCUGCACAUCGUAGCAUGUUGUACUAAUUUAUGACAUGAUUAUCUUGUUAUAGUGCUUGGGAUGAAAGAGCCCCUCCAGAGUCUAUACACACCCCUAGUGAACGCAUGUACCUACUGAGUGCGAGUGCUUAGUGCCGAGUGUCGAGUGACUGGGAGGAUCGAGUGGUUGUAAGGACUGAGUGACUAUAAGGACUGAGUGGUUUUGAGGACUAAGUUACUGGAAGGACUAAGUGAAUUAAUACUCUGAGAGUAUGUGUAUGGUUUUUAUCACUGGAUGGUAUUACAGUUGGCAUGCAUACGUUGACAUGUGGGCAUAGAGAUGUAUUUUCCUCAUGCCAUCUGAAAAUGAAAGAUUUACCUGUUGAAAGUUUUUUGGGGAAAAAUUAUAGUCUUCAAACUUACUUACAUCUUUGGCAAUUUCCAUAAAAGAUUUUGGUUUUCAUUGAUAUACUUGAAAAGCGAAACUAUUUUCGGGAACUAUGAAUAAGGUGAGCAUUUUAUCUUUGAGUUACUUCUUUUAUUACUUGCUUUACGUUGUUAUGAACUGUUGUUGGCUAUUGGUGUUUGACUCAACCUUUGUUCUAGCUCGUUACUACUUUCAACCUAAGGUUAGGUUUGUUACAUAUUGAGUACAUGGGGUCGGUUGUACUCAUACUAUAUUUCUGCACCUUGUCUGCAGAUGUUGGUUGCUGAUAUUGCUGUGAUCGACGGGAGCUGGAAUUGAAGACAUACCUACGUUUCUGGUAGUAGUUGUCUCUUGUUCAUAGUAGCCUUAGAUUCAUAAAACUUUGUUUAUGUACAUUUCAAACAGAUGAUGUAUUUACUUCAUACCAGCUUUGUAUAUUCUAGGCCAAAUACAUCAACAGCCCCUUAAAGUUGUUCUCACUUUUCACUC
rnacentral:lncRNA from 1 species